ensembl:lncRNA
GUGUUAUUCCUGCUUCCUGCUUGCCGUUCUGCUGUUUUGUGAUCGUAGCUCCGUGUAGCUUUGUUUUUCUGUAGAAUCUUUAUAUUACUAUCACUCUCUGUUGUUUAAAGUGAUAAAAUAUAACUUAAUUCCCACCAUAUUUCUGAUAUUAUCUAUCAAUCUAAUCUGAUUAAUUUGAUCGUUCACUUUUAUUUUAAAUCCGCGAGUGCAGUGCACCUGCAUCGCGUUAGCACUCGUUAGCUUGUCAUUAGCGUUUCCAUUUGUGCCUAUCGCUGUUUUCUUUCCUCCUCUCCUCUCUCUCGUUACUCUCUCUCUCCGGUUUUCACAAGUUCAUCAAACAACUGUGGUCACCGUAGCCACCAGAUCCAGUCUGUAUCCAAGUCAGAUGGUCACUGCAGUCACCCGGAUUCAGUAUGUAUCCAGCCCAGAUGGUGGAUUAGUACCUAGAAAGGACCUCUACAGCCCUGAAAGACAGCGGAGACCAGGACUAGAGCCCCAGAGACAGAUCCCCUGUAAAGACCUUGUCUCAGACGACCACCGGGACAAGACCACAGGAAACAGAUGAUUCUUCUGGACAACCUGACUUUGCUGCAGCCUGGAAUUGAACUGCUGGUUUCGUCUGGUCAGAGGAGAACUGGCCCCCCAACUGAGCCUGGUUUCUCCCAAGGUUUUUUUCUCCAUUCUCUCACUGAUGGAGUUUUGGUUCCUUGCCGCUGUCGCCUCUGGCUUGCUUAGUUGGGGACACUUCAUUUACAGCGAUAUCGUUGACUUGCAAAUUAUUGCACAGAUACCAUUUAAACUGAACUGAGCUGCAUGACGACAUCACUGAAUUCAAUGAUGAACUGCCUUUAACUAUCAUUUUGCAUUAUUGACACACUGUUUUCCUAAUUAAUGUUGUUCAGUUGCUUUGACGCAAUCUUUUUUGUUUAAAGCGCUAUAUAAAUAAAGAUGACUUGACUUGACUUGUUUCCCCCGGUGAGAGGGCUCGACGCUCCGCCUGUCUUCCUUCGAGAAGGUUGAAGUGGAGGGCGUCGAUGAGCUCGCCACCAGUUGCACAAGUUUCACAAAUAUAUUAUUGUAUGCCUAAUAUUAUAAUGGGCAGCAUUACUGAAUGAAUGAAUGAGGCAUUUGUGUAGUGCAUUUACUGUGUAUUACUAUACAGCGCUUUACAAUCAUGUGAGGGGAGCGGAGCUCGCGUAGUCAGCUGCAAAAUGCUCCACUCUCACCGUGCAUGCUCUGAGGAGUGUGUCCGUGCCUGUGAUCUUGCAGUUCCGGUCCCGCUGCUGCUGAGGCAUGGCAGUGAUUGAGAUUGUGGGGAUGCGGCUCGCGUUCUGCCGAGGCAACGCGUGUAUUACAUCAUUUUCUGUUUUGAUGUGAAUCUUACCACACCAGACCGUGUUUACUCAUUUGGUUAUUUGGCUGU